rnacentral:lncRNA from 1 species
CCCUUUCAACAGCACCAAGUCUUUCUAUAAGCAGCAAAGUCUCUCACGGCACAUUGCAACUUCAUGGGUUCUCAUCACUGAAGUUGGGGUACCACUCCUCCUGGGGCGGCAGCAGGGGGGUACGGGUACGGGGCGGCAGCAGGGGGGUAUGGGUACGGGUACGGGUACGGGUACGGGGCGGCAGCCGGGGGGUAUGGGUAUGGGUAAGGGUACGGCUGCGGGCAGUUGAUAGCUGUCGGCGGCCAGGCGUACGUCGUGGGCUGGAACCUCGCAUUGCCCAUAGCCCUCUGCUGAUUCAUCAGAGAGGCUUGCUGCUGCUGCUGCUGGUAAGGAUUUCCGGGCAUGGCUUCCGCCCUGGCCCCAGAGAAGGAGCCAUCCGCUCCGCCCACUCUUCCACCGCCGCCCAGCGAGGCAUCUGGGAGGCCUGGGACAGCUGGGAAAUUGCUCAUUUGCCCUGUUGGCAUGCUGCCCAUACGACCCAUUGGAAUCUUCAUACCACCCAUUUGCCC